ACCCGCUGAAUUUAAGCAUAUCAAUAAGCGGAGGAAAAGAAACUAACAAGGAUUCCCUCAGUAACGGCGAGCGAAGUGGGAAGAGCUCGAGCCUGAAAUCACUGGCAGUCACUGCCAGAGAAUUGUGGCCGGGAGAGGCAGCGGUGCCUGGACCGACACUGUCGAAGUUGACCUGGAAAGGCACGUCAGAGAGGGUGAGAGCCCCGUGUGCGACACUGUCGGGAUAGGCUGCUACUGUCUUCGGAGAGUCGGGUUGUUUGGGAAUGCAGCCCAAAGUGGGUGGUAAACUCCAUCUAAAGCUAAAUACUGGCACGAGACCGAUAGCGAACAAGUACCAUGAGGGAAAGGUGAAAAGUACUUUGAAAAGAGAGUCAAAAAGACCGCAAAACCGUUAGGAGGGAAACGAAU
rnacentral:rRNA from 1 species